AAGACAUACUUCGUAUUUUUCUUUGCUCCACCCGUACCUUCUUUUCUCCCCAUUUCUACUGCUGCUUCACCACCACCACAAGCGAGGAAGAAGACUUCCGAAAUGGAAUACAAGGCGGAACCCAUCAUCCAUUUUUGGAUUGAAGGUUCGACCACGGUAUAGAUAUUCCUCCAGAGACUUUACCUUCUCAAGCGCAGCCGCAAGUUCAGUUUUCAAGGAUUUUUCUUUGAGAGGACCCAUGAAUUUUCUCAAAGAAGCAGUUGUCUUUGUUUCUUUUAAUUCACGAUUAAACAACAUGAUGUAUUGAGAAACUUCCUCAUCAACGCUCUGUUCUUCUUCUGAAUCACUGUCAUCUGAAAGAUCAUCCAACUGUUUAUCAAGAGAUUUUUUCUAGUUGAAUGCAGAUUUGGCAGAAGGAGACGAGGAGGAGUUUUUCUCAAAGGUUUCAAAUCUCUGAAGCUUAUCUGAAUAACUCUGAACUGAUGUUGCGUUAUCAGAGAUAGUACUCUUGUCCAUAGAGUCAGAUCGCUACAAACACAGACUUAUGAGGUCUUAAACGUGUUUGCCU